UUCUUUUUUUAUUUUACUUUUAUUUUUUUCCUUUAUUGCCAUAUGUCGAAAUGUGAUUAGGGGCUUUGGAAAUUUUGAAUUUCUUCCUCUCUCUUUUUUUUAGUUUUUUUCAUUUCUUUCUUUUUUAAGAUUUUAUGUUUAGAGUUAGGGUUAGAGUGUUUGGAUUGGGCUAUUUGACCCUUUCUACUCUCUACACCCUCCACUUGGGGAGCCUUACCCCUGCUAAG
rnacentral:lncRNA from 1 species